UAGUCACCAGAAAGACCAAACCUUGAUAAGCA
rnacentral:piRNA from 1 species